rnacentral:rRNA from 1 species
GCUUAUAGCCAUGCCACCCUGAACAAGUCCGAUAUCUGAUCUCGGAAGCUAAGCAGGGUCGGGCCUAUUUAGUACUUGGAUGGGAGAUCACCUAGGAAGACCAAGUGCUGUAGGCA